rnacentral:rRNA from 1 species
GACGAACGCUGUCGGCGUGCUUAACACAUGCAAGUCGAACGGAAAGGCCCUGCUUUUGUGGGGUGCUCGAGUGGCGAACGGGUGAGUAACACGUGAGUAACCUGCCCUUGACUUUGGGAUAACUUCAGGAAACUGGGGCUAAUACCGGAUAGGAGCUCCUGCUGCAUGGUGGGGGUUGGAAAGUUUCGGCGGUUGGGGAUGGACUCGCGGCUUAUCAGCUUGUUGGUGGGGUAGUGGCUUACCGAGGCUUUGACGGGUAGCCGGCCUGAGAGGGUGACCGGCCACAUUGGGACUGAGAUACGGCCCAGACUCCUACGGGAGGCAGCAGUGGGGAAUAUUGCACAAUGGGCGGAAGCCUGAUGCAGCAACGCCGCGUGCGGGAUGACGGCCUUCGGGUUGUAAACCGCUUUCGCCUGUGACGAAGCGUGAGUGACGGUAAUGGGUAAAGAAGCACCGGCUAACUACGUGCCAGCAGCCGCGGUGAUACGUAGGGUGCGAGCGUUGUCCGGAUUUAUUGGGCGUAAAGGGCUCGUAGGUGGUUGAUCGCGUCGGAAGUGUAAUCUUGGGGCUUAACCCUGAGCGUGCCUUCGAUACGGGUUGACUUGAGGAAGGUAGGGGAGAAUGGAAUUCCUGGUGGAGCGGUGGAAUGCGCAGAUAUCAGGAGGAACACCAGGGGCGAAGGGGGUUCUCUGGGCCUUUCCUGACGCUGAGGAGCGAAAGCGUGGGGAGCGAACAGGCUUAGAUACCCUGGUAGUCCACGCUGUAAACGGUGGGUACUAGGUGUGGGGUCCAUUCUACGGGUUCCGUGCCGUAGCUAACGCUUUAAGUACCCCGCCUGGGGAGUACGGCCGCAAGGCUAAAACUCAAAGGAAUUGACGGGGCCCCGCACAAGCGGCGGAGCAUGCGGAUUAAUUCGAUGCAACGCGUAGAACCUUACCUGGGUUUGACAUGGAUCGGGAGUGCUCAGAGAUGGGUGUGCCUCUUUUGGGGUCGGUUCACAGGUGGUGCAUGCCUGUCGUCAGCUCGUGUCGUGAGAUGUUGGGUUAAGUCCCGCAACGAGCGCAACCCUUGUUCACUGUUGCCAGCACGUUAUGGUGGGGACUCAGUGGAGACCGCCGGGGACAACUCGGAGGAAGGUGGGGAUGACGUCAAGUCAUCAUGCCCCUUAUGUCCAGGGCUUCACGCAUGCUACAAUGGCUGGUACAGAGAGUGGCGAGCCUGUGAGGGUGAGCGAAUCUCGGAAAGCCGGUCUCAGUUCGGAUUGGGGUCUGCAACUCGACCUCAUGAAGUCGGAGUCGCUAGUAAUCGCAGAUCAGCAACGCUGCGGUGAAUACGUUCCCGGGGCU